AAGGAGAAGACGUCUGCCGGUUAAGGGAAAGCGGUGAAACUCCGCUGCAGAAGACCAGCUGCUGUAAUCGGGUACUGAUGCUCCAAUCAGCCACUGUUCACAACGAACGGGAAGGCGGAGCAGAGGGAUAAUCCGUAAGCCAGAAGACCUACCGACAGUCAUCUCAUCAU
rnacentral:ncRNA from 1 species